rnacentral:lncRNA from 1 species
CGAGUCGGUUGGAGAUAAAGGAGGAAAGUCCAUGGAGUUUGAUUCACUCAUGAACACGGUCACAUCAGAAGUUCAAAGUGUUACAUCAGAGCUAACAAUUUCACCUAUUACAUAUCUUUUUGGACUCGUCAUUGGGGAUAUUUUAAACAAAAUCCUCGGGGCUAUCAUCAAAACGGCACUUGCAACCACCAUCGCCACAUUUUUUUUUUAGUCGGAAUAGGAGUGGCUAGACGUGAAUUCUCUUUCCAAAAUCUCUUCAAUUUAUAGUUUCAGUACUUAAAAUUUUAUAUGAAUUUGAUUUAUUGUGUUUAAAAAUUUGUUUUAUACAAUAUAAUAUGCUAUUGUAGCUUAAAAAUAUCUUAAUUUCUUUUAAAAAUAAAUGUAUGAUAUAUUUAUCAA